CCUCUUCAGAACUCAUUUCUCUCCAGAAGCCAGGAAAGGAAAGCUAGCUACUCACUCAACCAAGAAACAAUACAAGAUUCAAGCUGGAGAGGACUAUAGCCUGAAGAAGUUUGGUACUUUUUAUAGUCACUUCUUGUUCCUUCCCCUCUUCACAGGGGCCAAGCACUGUUUACAAAUUGCUUAGCACUGCCCAUGGGGGCAGUGUCUAUGGGAUCCACUUCUCACUCUUCGAAAAUGUCAACUCUUAUCAAUGGAUUCACAAGUUUCUGAUUGAUUGGUUUAAAGGAUGGAGCUCUCCAAGUACAUGACUUAUGAAUUCUCUUAUUUAUUCAAGUACAUGUUGUUUUCCCCACUCUUUGGACAACAUGAAUCAUGGAAGACAGACCAGAAAUGACACAGGGGAUGUCUCAGAUGAGGAAACUGGGGUCCAGAGCAGUUUAUUCAAGGUGACACAAAGAAAUAGCAGAAGAGCAAGGAAACUUCUGAUACAAUUGGCAUGUUAACUGAUAAGAAGGAUUUGGAUCCUGUCCCUUUUCCCAGCUCACUGACCUAAGACUGAGGAAUUUCCCCUUUCGGUGAGAUUUGAGACUCUCUUGGUUGAGUUGAGUUAUCUUGUUUUCAAGGGAGAGAAUCCCUUGGAUUAGUAAUAUUCAGUAUAUAUUCUCAUUUGUAUACUUUCUCUGAUUUCUGUUUUGCUAUUGACUUGGAUAAAUGGG
rnacentral:lncRNA from 1 species